AGAUGUGAGGGUGAUCUGGCUCUGAUAUCUUGUCACCCCAUUGAUCGCCAAUGUUGAUCCUGCUGAUCUGGCUGGCAGGCUGGCUAGGCGGGUGCCCCUUCCUCCCACACUGCUCCAUGUGCGUCCCUCCCUAAGCUGUAGGCUCGGUCAAAGAGAACGACAUUUCCCCGAAGACAGACAGAAUGGUCUUCAAUUGAGGGUAUACUGGUAGCUGUGUUCCCCUGCUAGGACCUCCAGACAAGCUCUCAAGGUCCAUUUGUAGCAGAAUGGAGGGUAGUUCCAAGACUUCAGACAUCCAAAUGAGGCACUGCAUGUGGUAAUCUACCCUUU
rnacentral:snRNA from 1 species